AGUAUUCUAUAAAACACAGAUAUUUCAAAACCUCCCUCCUUUUCCAUGGCUAAUUCAUUGUCAUGGAAACUGAAUUUAUCAAAAUGUUCUUGUUCACUCCUAGUGACCCAGUGAGUCGACUUACAGAGCUGGUGAAAGCAUUUUUUCUUUGCUGAUCUGUAGCCCAAGGAUUCAAAAAUCCUUCAUCGCCUCAUCACAAACGUCUUUCCUUAUCUGUUGCUGAAGAUGAAACUGAGUCUGGAAAAUAUCAUUAAGACAAAUACUUAACUCAUCAUACCUUGAUCGUGGUGUUUAGAAGCUGCAUUUUCUAAAGAACAUUUUCAAAAAUAACCUGCAGUAGAUGGACUCCCUGUCUUGCUGAUUUCCCAGAAAAGGUACAAAAUCUUCCCCCAUCUUGCUCUCCUGUAAGU